CUACGGGUCUGCCUUUAAUUCACUGUGGAUAGAAAUCACCAGAAGCAUAAUCACGUGGCUUUUCGAAGAGGACGUGUUGAAGCACAGAUGGUUUUGUGGUCCCUCUCAGGGAAGUCAAGUGCUUGGGGAAAACCGGAGAAUUACAGCAUUUGAAAAGGGAGAAGGGAGUUGUGUCCAAGAAAACAGAGUCAAAGCUGUUGACUUUGGUGUCUAAAGUAAGCAAGCCUGUGGAGGUUUCCUCGGGUCACAGUCAAGGCCAUGAAUUUCGCUGAUGGCUGCAUUCACGUCAUCUUUUGAACGUGCAGGACAGAAGCUACUACCGAAAAUAUAGUUUUGCUUCUCAAGCUAUCAAAAAUGAAGACCAUUCCUCUCCUUGAUAAAUAC
rnacentral:lncRNA from 1 species